GAAUCGCUAGUAAUCGUGGAUCAGAAUGGCACGGUGAAUACGUUCCCGGGCCUUGUACACACCGCCCGUCACACCAUGGGAGUGGACUGCACCAGAAGUGGUUAGCCUAACUUCGGAGGGCGAUCACCACGGUGUGGUUCAUGACUGGGGUGAAGUCGUAACAAGGUAGCCGUAGGGGAACCUGCGGCUGGAUCCCCUCCUU
rnacentral:rRNA from 1 species